CAGUGUGAUUCGUCACACUAUCAUUAACUGAAUUCAUAGGUUAAUGAGGCGAACCGGGGGAACUGAAACAUCUAAGUACCCCGAGGAAAAGAAAUCAACCGAGAUUCCCCCAGUAGCGGCGAGCGAACGGGGAGGAGCCCAGAGCCUGAAUCAGUGUGUGUGUUAGUGGAAGCGUCUGGAAAGGCGCGCGAUACAGGGUGACAGCCCCGUACACAAAAAUGCACAUGCUGUGAGCUCGAUGAGUAGGGCGGGACACGUGGUAUCCUGUCUGAAUAUGGGGGGACCAUCCUCCAAGGCUAAAUACUCCUGACUGACCGAUAGUGAACCAGUACCGUGAGGGAAAGGCGAAAAGAACCCCGGCGAGGGGAGUGAAAAAGAACCUGAAACCGUGUACG
rnacentral:rRNA from 1 species